UACGGAGGGUGCAAGCGUUAUCCGGAUUUACUGGGUUUAAAGGGUGCGUAGGUGGGCAGGUAAGUCAGUGGUGAAAUCUCCGAGCUUAACUCGGAAACUGCCAUUGAUACUAUCUGUCUUGAAUUAUCUGGAGGUGAGCGGAAUAUGUCAUGUAGCGGUGAAAUGCUUAGAUAUGACAUAGAACACCAAUUGCGAAGGCAGCUCACUACGGAUAUAUUGA
rnacentral:rRNA from 1 species